rnacentral:tRNA from 1 species
GCGCCUGUAGCUCAGCGGAAGAGCAUCGGACUUCUAAUCCGACGGUCGGGGGUUCGAAUCCCUCCAGGCGCA